rfam:Ovis aries breed Texel chromosome 15, whole genome shotgun sequence.
UCCCUGGUGGCUUAGAUGGCAAAGUGUCUGCCUGCAAUGCGGGAGACCCGGGUUUGAUCCCUGGGUUGGGAA